CUUCUUAGUAUAUAAAAACAGAAGGGAUGAAUCAGCUCUACCUGGCAUAGAAUUUCUCCACCAAACAUUGCCAGGUCAAUCUAUAAAAGAAAUGUAAAAUACAGAAUAAUGAUGAGUAUGAUUCGAUAAAUCGAAAAUGGAAAAU